rnacentral:rRNA from 1 species
UACGGAGGGUGCAAGCGUUAUUCGGAUUUAUUGGGCGUAAAGGGCGUGUAGGUGGUCUGUUAAGUCAGGUGUGAAAGCCCAUGGCUCAACCAUGGAAGUGCACUUGAAACUAUCAGACUUGAGUACGGGAGGGGGAAGUGGAAUUCCUGGUGUAGAGGUGAAAUUCGUAGAUAUCAGGAGGAAUACCGGUGGCGAAGGCGACUUCCUGGACCGAUACUGACACUGAGACGCGAAAGCGUGGGGAGCAAACAGG